GUGCCAGCAGCCGCGGUAAUACAGAGGUCUCAAGCGUUGUUCGGAUUUACUGGGCGUAAAGGGUGCGUAGGCGGCAAUUAAAGUUGCUGGUAAAAUGGCCAAGCUUAACUUGGUGUUGGCUAGCAAUACUUAAAUGCUGGGGAACCGAAUGGGAAACUGGAAUUCUCGAUGUAGCAGUGAAAUGCGUAGAUAUCGAGAGGAACAUCAGUGGCGAAAGCGAGUUUCUGGGCGGAUUCCGACGCUGAGGCACGAAAGCGAAGGUAGCAAACGGGAUUAGAAACCCUUGUAGUCC
rnacentral:rRNA from 1 species